GGAAUGUCAUAAUUGCCAUGAUUGGUCAUGUAUGGAUGUGAGAGUUGGACUGUGAAAAGAGCUGAGCACCGAAGAAUUGAUGCUUUUGAACUGUAGUGUUGGAGAAGACUUUUGAGAAUUUUUUGGACUGUAAGGAGAUCCAACCAGUCCAUUCUAAAGGAGGUAAUUUAGCUGUUGUUCGAUUGACAGAGGAGAAGAGAAACAUAAAGAGAAGAGGCACUUUCUUGGUAGGACUCUAUCAUCUUAAAGUCUGGUCCCUGUCAUCUCUUCAUCCUUGGACCUAGGAAGAUGGAUAAAGAGCAAUAGAGGAAUUGUGCAUUGAAUCUUAAAGCUUCUGCUCAAAUGGCACAUGUGGCACAAAACUUCUGCCCAUAUUAUGUUGAAUAAAUAAGUCAUGUUUCCAAGGCUUUGGUUAAAAAAAAAAGAAGAGAGAAUUAUACCCUUCUUACAGCAAUGGAGGAGGAUCUCUGAAGAGAUGAACUAAGUAGAAUAAGAUAGCUAGUUGUGCAAUUAAUAAAUAACUCAUAAUGAUA
ensembl:lncRNA